GACGAACGCUGGCGGCGUGCCUAAUACAUGCAAGUCGAACGCAGUGGGGACGGGUGAGUAACACGUGGGUAACCUCCCAUCAGAGGGGAUAACACUUGGAAACAGGUGCUAAACCGAUAUUGAUGGCUGGACCCGCGGUGCAUUAGCGAGUUGGUGAGGUAACGGCUCACCAAGUCCACGAUGCAUAGCGGAGCUGAGAGGGUGAUAGGCCACACUGGGACUGAGACACGGCCCAGACUCCUACGGGAGGCAGCAGUAGGGAAUAUUCGGCAAUGGAGGAAAGACUGAUCGAGCAAAGCCGCGUGAGUGAAGAAGGUUUUCGGAUCGUAAAACUCUGUGAUUAGAGAAGCGGUAUCUAACCAGAAAGCCACGGCUAACUACGUGCCAGCAGCCGCGGUAAUAC
rnacentral:rRNA from 1 species